rnacentral:lncRNA from 1 species
GCAUGAAUUAUGUUGCAUAAUUAAAAUUGAUUUCGAAUUGAUGAACUCUAUAUGCUUAUUUUCUAUAAAUGAUUAUUUACUUAAAUGCCUGAUGAAAUCUGUUGAGAAGUAAUCAUUGCUUACUGGGCUAUCUAGCUCAUUACCUCUUAUUUUACUGUUUUUACAGAUGUUGAGGAAUUAAGAUGAUACAAGAUAUGAAUGGAAGAGUGAUCAGAAGC